AUAUACCAUUCAAAGGUCAAGUAGAUUAAAGAUAAGUCUCUUUUUUCCAGAGAAGGUCGUAUAUCAUACAAAGAGCAUUUCUAGUGGACUCAUAGAUUACAUGUUCUUCAACACCAUUUCCAAGUCCAACAAACUUUACGAGCAUCUGUUAAGGGAAAAAUUGGUGAGCCAUCAUAUAUAUGAUUCUCUAUUUGAAUAUAAAUACAUUCAUUUUGGAAUGAGUGAAGAGUCAACCCAAGAAUGCAUAGGCACAAAGAUAUAAAAAUAUGACAAGUUUCACUUUUCCUUUAUAUUCUCCUUAUACUCGUUAUAGUUUUAAUAGACUUCCAUGUUGACGUGUGGAUUUUAUUUGCAAUGACAAGGAUGAUCAAUGGGUUGGGGUUGGUUUUGGGAAUGGGUUGGAGUUGUUGUCUUCGCUUUUUUCUUUUUUUUUAUGUUUUUUUCUUUGUAUUGGGUUGAAGUAUCCCGUGUACUACUUUUUCAUUGCAAUAAUGGGUUACCUAAAAAAGCGAGGAUGAUCGAUGGUCAAUUUUUACUUUUUUUAUAUGAUAUUAUUUUUUUAGAGGCAAAUGUUAGUUUUUAGUAAUGUUAGUAAAUUAGUCAUCCUUAGGGUUCGAACCCUAGAGCCUUCAUCCUUCAUCUCACCCAACCCUUAUGUCUUUAGCUCUUACCACUUGAGCUAAUCUUCGGGGACGACGGGGACAUAUGAUAAUAUUUCUUAUGUUGGAUCUUCAUGUGCAGUGUGUGAAAAUCGAUUUCUCACAUCAGUCAUUGAUUUUGUCCACAACGGAGAGAAAACCUCUUUCUGGGAUCAGUUUUUUCUGGGGAGACAAUAUUUGUGGAGCCUCUUUAAUCAUGUAUUUAGUAGCUGAAGCAAGCCAGUGUCAAAUAAACAUCAAGUUGAGAGAGUUGAUUUAACCAAAAGGGCGUGUAAGCUAAGGAGAGGACUAGUCAUGAGAUCUUGCACUUUUCUUUUUCUUUAAGAUUUUAGUUGAUAAAGUUUGAACAAGUAUAAGACA